GACGGAGGAUGCAAGUGUUAUCCGGAAUCACUGGGCGUAAAGCGUCUGUAGGUUGUUUAAAAAGUCUGCAGUUAAAGGUUGAAGCUUAACUUCAAAAAUGCCGUAGAAACUUUUAAACUAGAGGAUGGUAGGGGUAGAGGGAAUUUCCAGUGGAGCGGUGAAAUGUGUAGAUAUUGGAAAGACCACCGAUGGCGAAGGCACUCUACUGGGCCAUGACUGACACUGAGAGACGAAAGCUAGGGGAGCAAACAGG
rnacentral:rRNA from 1 species